rnacentral:rRNA from 1 species
CACUCCUGCGGGAGGCAGCAGUGGGGAAUAUUGGACAAUGGGCGCAAGCCUGAUCCAGCCAUGCCGCGUGAGUGAUGAAGGCCCUAGGGUUGUAAAGCUCUUUCACCGGUGAAGAUAAUGACGGUAACCGGAGAAGAAGCCCCGGCUAACUUCGUGCCAGCAGCCGCGGUAAUACGAAGGGGGCUAGCGUUGUUCGGAUUUACUGGGCGUAAAGCGCACGUAGGCGGACUAUUAAGUCAGGGGUGAAAUCCCGGGGCUCAACCCCGGAACUGCCUUUGAUACUGGUAGUCUUGAGUUCGAGAGAGGUGAGUGGAAUUCCGAGUGUAGAGGUGAAAUUCGUAGAUAUUCGGAGGAACACCAGUGGCGAAGGCGGCUCACUGGCUCGAUACUGACGCUGAGGUGCGAAAGCGUGGGGAGCAAACAGGAUUAGAAACCCCGGUAGUCCCA